ACAAUUCUCCGCAACGCGAAGGUUCCUUUUCCCCCGCGUGAAGCCUCCUUUUUCCGUGACGCGAAGCGAUCUGCGUUAGGGCUUUGUCGCCUCUCGGCGAUAAGAUCGCCAAGCCUCUUUUCCCCGAUCUGCGUUAGGGUUUUGUUCGCCUCUCGACGGUAAGAUCGCGAAGCCUCCUUUUCCCCAUCCUAAUCGAGUGAGUCUACCCUCGGCCAGACUGCGCCGCCGCCUGCGACCAAUAGCCUAUGCACCGCUCUCGUCCGCCCUUCCGGCUACCCCUGCUUCGAACACACGGUGUUGAAAUCUAUUUCUUUUGCUCUUUGAUUUGUUGGAGUGUGAUUGUUUGUUGACCUCUCUUUAACGAAAAUGUUUGUCCACAAAAGCAAUGGCGUGAGUAUUGGGGGACUGUAGAUUCGAAUUUGUUAUCGAGAAAACUCUGGAUUAGUGCUUGAUUGCUUGCAGACUUGUUGAUUGGUUAUAUUUUGUUGAUAUUUGGCAACUAUUAUCGAUCAUAUGUUCCUGCUUGCAUUGUCUAUAACCAUGGAUGAGUAACUAUUACCUGAUUCCAAAUCGCCCUUCCUCUCCUCCCACGCCAAGCUUAGUUCAAUGUAUGAAUUGAGCCACUGACAAUAUCUGUCAGAAACUUAAGGAUCUUAGGAACUCAUAUUUAAACAUAUAAGGAAAUGAAAAUGAACAGAGUGGUUGUUUCUUAGGGGCUCUUUUAACUUCGGGAAAAUAUUUUACAUUGGAAAGUUAAGACAUUGCUAAUGUAAGAGAAUUUGUCUAAGAUGAGGAUCAAAUAGAUAAAAGGGUGAAAAAGAUAAAUAGAUCUGUCUAUCGAAAUUACUCAUUAUUGUGUAAAUAUCUCAGCAAAAAUGUUUACUGAGAUAGAUGCCAUGGUUAUUUACAAUUCUGGACUGCAAAAUGGUGACUUUCUGAUAAUCCUAUGCAUCAAACUCCCUCUUAAGAACAACUAUGAUUGCCUUUGUAAAGUUUGUUAGAGAACAUCUAAGAUUUGGAAAGUGUUCCAUUUUAUUGCCUAGCAGUAAUUUUUUAUUUUAAAAUGUAAAUUUCACCUUUUUUGUGUGUAUUAGACAGUAAGAGAGAUACCAUGGUUGUUUACAAUGGACUUUCUAGUAAUCCUAUGCCUCAAACUCCCUCUUAAGAAGGAUUAUGAUUGCUCUUAUACAGUUUGUUAUAAAGCAUGUCAAUUUUGGUCCAACUCAUUAUCUAUCAAUAUUUUGAUUACAAAAUGUGAUUUUUGUCUUAUUUAUGUGAUAACCACUAUGUUAGAUGUAUUUUAUCUUAUCUUAUUUUACUUUCUUAUCUUGAUUUUGCUUAAUGGUUGCAUGGUCAUAAUACAAGUAACUCAAUUUUACUGGAUGCUUCUCUUGUGAUUGAUACCUCAAGAUAUUGGUAUCGAGCUUAGCGAAAUGGUGAAUUGGGAUGUUGUCUCUCUCUCAUUCAUUUACUUUGUUGAUCUUUUUUCAGAUUUAUCAAGAUGUGAAAAGUAUUGCUGUGUUAUUAGUUUUUCCAUUCUACUCAUAUGCACUUCAUUAGUUAGCGCAAAAUUAAGUUAUUCUUUUGAUGAUACUACUUAGCUUGAUGGGUUAGCAAACAAAAAAAACUUCUCUUCGGUUUCUUGAAACACAACUCCAACUGCUGAUAGACUAGUGAAAACGGUAGCUUGAGACUAAAGAUGGUUAUCUUUUGUCCAUUCAACAUGUUCAUCAUGGGGAAAAAACUUUGGGAGAAAUGUCUGGUCCUUCUGUUUUCCUCCAACAUGGUCUUUUUAGGUAUUAACUCAAAGGAUCCUUUUGAUGUGGAUGUCUCUCAAAUUUGAAAAUUUGUUAUAUAAGAGUAUUUUGAUCAUAAUGUUAUGUAGUCCUUUGACUAUUUUUCUCGGCAUUUUGGGAUUGGAGUUGGCAAGAAUUGGGCACGACUAGCAAGCUAUGAUAAGCUAUGUAUAAUCUGUUACAAAUUCUAAAGAUUUCUACGUAGGCCAUUCCCAGGCACAUUUUCAACAUAGGCCAUUCCCAGGCACAUCAUGCCCAGGCAAGCUUUUAUUUUGUUAUGUGCAGGAAGCACAACAGCUCGUCUGAAUUCCAAUUAAGCAUUAUAUACUUGACCAAACUUUUGCCUUCUUCAAACUCCAAUCCAACCCAAGAUUUGCUGUUGGCCAUUUUGAGUCUUAAACUAACCAUCUGUUUGUAUCUACCUUUCCUUUUUGAGCAUCGUUAUGGACUUUUCGGUCUGAAUAUUCAACAUAUGAAAUUUAUCUUCCAGAUUAUGACACUUAUAAGUGGCUUUGAAAGGGUGUACACAGAGGCAUAUUUUCUGCCUGAUCAGUUGUACAAUGUUAGCGUAUGACCCCCAAUUAAGGUGGCAUUUGGUGUAGAGUGCAAGAAUGGGAAUGAGAAUGGAUUUGAUAGUAGAUUGGAAUGGUGGUUGAGCACGUCGGCCAUGGUCUUGCCGGAGACGCAUAUAACCAUCCUCUCCCACCGUCGGGGGCGUUGGCGUUGAACUUGGUCAGCACGUUCUCGAAGCUCUUGUUCUGCUCAUGUGUUGCACCCCUUCGGGCAGAGGAACAAGAUCGUGCUGGGGUAGCGAAGCGCUGCCAUCGCUGACGAGAGAACCUCCAUCCAUGGUGGCGCCAUUAAUCGAAAUCAAGAACACGAGAAAGAGGAUUAAGAUGGAAAGGUGAGGCCUUCCCCCCUUUCCUCUCCCAAAAGAUCGAAACUUCGACACUCGCAAAGAUUUCUUGUUUGAUCAAUUGCAGAAAUCAAGAAGAACAUGAUCAGAUCUCUCGGAGAAGGCCUUUCCUCCUCUUUCUCUAUCAAAACUCCUGAUCGAAACUUCCAAGGAUUUUUCCCUCGAUUAACGACCUAAAAGGAUGAGAUUUCUAAUGAUACUUUCUCCUCCUCUGCUCCCAAAAGAUCAAAACUUUAAACACUUGCAGAUACAUUUUGUCCUUUGCUAUAAAUUGAUGAUUCGAAUGCACUAAUUAAUGCUCAUUUUAUUCACUAAUUAAUGCUCAUUUUAUUCACCUGAA